rnacentral:rRNA from 1 species
CUCCAGACUCCUACGGGAGGCAGCAGUGGGGAAUAUUGCACAAUGGGGGAAACCCUGAUGCAGCGACGCCGCGUGAGUGAAGAAGUAUUUCGGUACGUAAAGCUCUAUCAGCAGGGAAGAAAAUGACGGUACCUGACUAAGAAGCCCCGGCUAACUACGUACCAGCAGCCGCGGUAAUACGUAGGGGGCAAGCGUUAUCCGGAUUUACUGGGUGUAAAGGGAGCGUAGACGGCAGCGCAAGUCUGGAGUGAAAGCCCGGGGCUUAACCCCGGGACUGCUUUGGAAACUGGCGCGCUAGAGUGCUGGAGAGGUAAGUGGAAUUCCUAGUGUAGCGGUGAAAUGCGUAGAUAUUAGGAGGAACACCAGUGGCGAAGGCGGCUUACUGGACAGUAACUGACGUUGAGGCUCGAAAGCGUGGGGAGCAAACAGGAUUAGAUACCCCUGUAA